rnacentral:rRNA from 1 species
UGGCGGCGUGCUUAACACAUGCAAGUCGAGCGAAGGAAUACUUAGGAAGCCUUCGGGAAGAAUACGUAUUCCUUAGCGGCGGACGGGUGAGUAACGCGUGAGGAAUCUGCCUCGCACAAGGGGAUAGCCUCGGGAAACCGGGAUUAAUACCCUAUGAUACUUACACUGCGCAUGCAGAGUAAGUUAAAGAAUAUCGGUGUGAGAUGACCUCGCGUCCCAUUAGCUGGUUGGCAGGGUAAAAGCCUACCAAGGCGACGAUGGGUAGCCGGCCUGAGAGGGUGAACGGCCACAUUGGAACUGAGACACGGUCCAGACUCCUACGGGAGGCAGCAGUGGGGAAUAUUGCACAAUGGAGGGAACUCUGAUGCAGCAACGCCGCGUGAGCGAAGAAGGUUUUAGGAUCGUAAAGCUCUGUCCUAAGGGAAGAUAAUGACGGUACCCGAGGAGGAAGCCCCGGCUAACUACGUGCCAGCAGCCGCGGUAAUACGUAGGGGGCGAGCGUUGUCCGGAAUUAUUGGGCGUAAAGGGUGCGUAGGCGGCUGAACAAGUCAGAUGUGAAAGGUUAAGGCUUAACUUUAAUAAGCAUAUGAAACUGUUCAGCUUGAGUUAAGGAGAGGGGAGUGGAAUUCCUAGUGUAGCGGUGAAAUGCGUAGAUAUUAGGAGGAAUACCAGUGGCGAAGGCGACUCUCUGGACUUAAACUGACGCUGAGGCACGAAAGCGU